rnacentral:misc_RNA from 1 species
CGCACAUUGCGCCCUUUGGUAUUCCGAGGGGCAUGCCUGUUCGAGCGUCAUUUCAACCCUCAAGCUCCUGCUUGGUGUUGGGCCUCGUCCUCACCGGACGUGCCCGAAACUCGUGGGCGGUGGCGGCCGAGCUCCCAGCGUAGUCAAAUCUACCCGCUUCGGAGACCGGACGACACCCGCCUGGUAAACCACACUUCUAUCAAGGUUUGACCUCGGAUCAGGUAGGGAUACCCGCUGAACUUAA